GCGGAUGUGGUGGAACUGGCAGACACGCUGGAUUUAGGUUCCAGUGGGUAAUUCCGUGGGGGUUCGAGUCCCUUCAUCCGCACCA
rnacentral:tRNA from 1 species